rnacentral:rRNA from 1 species
UUGGGUAGGGGAGCGUUCUGUAAGCCUGUGAAGGUGGCCUGUGAGGGUUGCUGGAGGUAUCAGAAGUGCGAAUGCUGACAUAAGUAACGAUAAAGCGGGUGAAAAGCCCGCUCGCCGGAAGACCAAGGGUUCCUGUCCAACGUUAAUCGGGGCAGGGUGAGUCGACCCCUAAGGCGAGGCCGAAAGGCGUAGUCGAUGGGAAACAGGUUAAUAUUCCUGUACUUGGUGUUACUGCGAAGGGGGGACGGAGAAGGCUAUGUUGGCCGGGCGACGGUUGUCCCGGUUUAAGCGUGUAGGCUGGUUUUCCAGGCAAAUCCGGAAAACCAAGGCUGAGGCGUGAUGACGAGGCACUACGGUGCUGAAGCGACAAAUGCCCUGCUUCCAGGAAAAGCCUCUAAGCAUCAGGUAACAUCAAAUCGUACCCCAAACCGACACAGGUGGUCAGGUAGAGAAUACCAAGGCGCUUGAGAGAACUCGGGUGAAGGAACUAGGCAAAAUGGUGCCGUAACUUCGGGAGAAGGCACGCUGAUAUGUAGGUGAAGCGACUUGCUCGUGGAGCUGAAAUCAGUCGAAGAUACCAGCUGGCUGCAACUGUUUAUUAAAAACACAGCACUGUGCAAACACGAAAGUGGACGUAUACGGUGUGACGCCUGCCCGGUGCCGGAAGGUUAAUUGAUGGGGUUAGCGGUAACGCGAAGCUCUUGAUCGAAGCCCCGGUAAACGGCGGCCGUAACUAUAACGGUCCUAAGGUAGCGAAAUUCCUUGUCGGGUAAGUUCCGACCUGCACGAAUGGCGUAAUGAUGGCCAGGCUGUCUCCACCCGAGACUCAGUGAAAUUGAACUCGCUGUGAAGAUGCAGUGUACCCGCGGCAAGACGGAAAGACCCCGUGAACCUUUACUAUAGCUUGACACUGAACAUUGAGCCUUGAUGUGUAGGAUAGGUGGGAGGCUUUGAAGUGUGGACGCCAGUCUGCAUGGAGCCGACCUUGAAAUACCACCCUUUAAUGUUUGAUGUUCUAACGUGGGCCCCUAAUCGGGGUUGCGGACAGUGUCUGGUGGGUAGUUUGACUGGGGCGGUCUCCUCCUAAAGAGUAACGGAGGAGCACGAAGGUUGGCUAAUCCUGGUCGGACAUCAGGAGGUUAGUGCAAUGGCAUAAGCCAGCUUGACUGCGAGCGUGACGGCGCGAGCAGGUGCGAAAGCAGGUCAUAGUGAUCCGGUGGUUCUGAAUGGAAGGGCCAUCGCUCAACGGAUAAAAGGUACUCCGGGGAUAACAGGCUGAUACCGCCCAAGAGUUCAUAUCGACGGCGGUGUUUGGCACCUCGAUGUCGGCUCAUCACAUCCUGGGGCUGAAGUAGGUCCCAAGGGUAUGGCUGUUCGCCAUUUAAAGUGGUACGCGAGCUGGGUUUAGAACGUCGUGAGACAGUUCGGUCCCUAUCUGCCGUGGGCGCUGGAGAACUGAGGGGGGCUGCUCCUAGUACGAGAGGACCGGAGUGGACGCAUCACUGGUGUUCGGGUUGUCAUGCCAAUGGCACUGCCCGGUAGCUAAAUGCGGAAGAGAUAAGUGCUGAAAGCAUCUAAGCACGAAACUUGCCCCGAGAUGAGUUCUCCCUGAGACUUAGAGUCUCCUGAAGGAACGUUGAAGACGACGACGUUGAUAGGCCGGGUGUGUAAGCGCAGCGAUGCGUUGAGCUAACCGGUACUAAUGAACCGUGAGGCUUAACCUUACAACGCCGAAG